CCAUUAGGCAGAGAUGCUGAUAUUGGCGUCUAGAUUUUGUACAGGACUGUUUGUUGUAUGUCAGUAUAUUUACUAAGGCAUAUUCCUCUUCGCGGUAACUUUAGCUUUCCUUUCUCUAUCAAAGGGAACCUUAAUGAAUGGAAGGCUUGAGUCCACGCUCGGCCAUUUAGGUGCUCUUUCCAAAGAUAUGGAGCAUUUCUUCCUUUGCCCUUUAAUGGUCCAUUGUACAUUCACAUCCAUUUCUAAGGAGCCAGGAAUGCUAAGAGUGGCAUACAUUCAAACCUGCACGCUGAAGCACUUUUUUUGAGCCACAAUAGCGUCCACACGGAGAAUUCAACAAUUUACAUAUGAAAUUUUUUAUGUUUACUUUAUCUGCAGUAUAGUUUUCAAAUAUAUCAUUUGUACUCUUCAAAUAUGCUGUUAACUCCAUGUUGGGUCCUCCAAAAAGCAUUACUUAUCCGGCAUGCAACUGAUGGCAUAUUUGAAUUGUCCGAGAAGAAUAAGUUUUCAACAAAGGGGAUUCAAUUGAACUCCUUUUCUA